rnacentral:rRNA from 1 species
GUCCACGCCCUAAACGAUGCGAACUGGACGUUGGGAGCAAUCAGGCUCUCAGUGUCGAAGCUAACGCGUUAAGUUCGCCGCCUGGGGAGUACGGUCGCAAGACUGAAACUCAAAGGAAUUGACGGGGGCCCGCACAAGCGGUGGAGUAUGUGGUUUAAUUCGAUGCAACGCGCAGAACCUUACCUGGCCUUGACAUCCACGGAAUCCUUCAGAGAUGAGGGAGUGCCUUCGGGAACCGUGAGACAGGUGCUGCAUGGCUGUCGU